AGCAAGCACCGGCUAACUCCGUGCCAGCGGCCGCGGUAAUACGGAGGGUGCAAGCGUUACUCGGAAUCACUGGGCGUAAAGCGCGCGCAGGCGGCCAUUUAAGUUGGAUGUGAAAGCCUACGGCUCAACCGUAGAACUGCAUCCAAAACUAUUUGGCUAGAGUGUGGGAGAGGAAGAUGGAAUUAGUUGUGUAGGGGUAAAAUCCGUAGAGAUAACUAGGAAUACCAAAAGCGAAGGCAAUCUUCUGGAACACUACUGACGCUGAGGCGCGAAGGCGUGGGGAGCAAACAGGAUUAGAUACCCUGGUAGUCCACGCAGUAAACGAUGAAUGUUAGUCGUCGGGGGCCUAGUGUCUUCGGUGAUGCAGCUAACGCAUUAAACAUUCCGCCUGGGGAGUACGGUCGCAAGAUUAAAACUCAAAGGAAUAGACGGGGACCCGCACAAGUGGUGGAGCAUGUGGUUUAAUUCGAAGAUACGCGAAGAACCUUACCUAGCCUUGACAUAUUUUAGAACUCCGCAGAGAUGCAGAGGUGCCUUCGGGAGCUAAUUUACAGGUGCUGCACGGCUGUCGUCAGCUCGUGUCGUGAGAUGUUGGGUUAAGUCCCGCAACGAGCGCAACCCUCGUCACUAGUUACUAACGGUUCGGCCGAGGACUCUAGUGAGACUGCCUUCGUAAGGAGGAGGAAGGUGAGGACGACGUCAAGUCAUCAUGGCCCUUACGGCUAGGGCAACACACGUGCUACAAUGGCCAGGACAGUGAGACGCGAUACCGCGAGGUGGAGCAAAUCUAUAAACCUGGUCUCAGUUCGGAUUGUAGUCUGCAACUCGACUACAUGAAGCUGGAAUCACUAGUAAUCGUAGAUCAGCUAUGCUACGGUGAAUACGUUC
rnacentral:rRNA from 1 species